rnacentral:rRNA from 1 species
AGCGAACGCUAGCGGCGGGCUUAACACAUGCAAGUCGAGCGGAGAGCUUCGGCUCUCAGCGGCGAACGGGUGAGUAACACGUAGGUCACGUACCCUUUGAUGGGGAAUAACCUAGGGAAACCUGGGCUAAUACCGCAUAUGUCCUUCGGGAUGAAAGCCUUCGGGCGUCAGAGGAUCGGCCUGCGGCCCAUUAUUUAAUCCUAGUUGGUAGGGUAAUGGCCUACCAAGGGUACGAUGGGUAGCUGGUCUGAGAGGAUGAUCAGCCACACUGGAACUGAGACACGGUUCAGACUCCUACGGGAGGCAGCAGUGGGGAAUAUUGGACAAUGGGCGAAAGCCUGAUCCAGCCACGCCGCGUGGGUGAUGAAGGCCUUCGGGUUGUAAAGCCCUGUCGGGAGGGACGAAUCAAUGACGGUACCUCCCAAGAAAGCACCGGCUAACUCCGUG